UUUCCGUAGGUGAACCUGCGGAAGGAUCAUUAAUGAAUUUAUUGACAUGGUUGUCGCUGGUCUUUACAGGCAUGUGCACGCUUUGCUUCAAUUCAUCCAUUCUACACCUCUGUGCACUCUUCAUAGGCUGGCUUAUUGGGGUUGUCACUGUAUGACCCGUGGCUUUUCUAUGCAUUUUAUUACAAACAUAUCUAGUUCAGAAUGUCUCUAUUGCGAAUGUAACGCAUAUAAAUAUAACUUUCAGCAACGGAUCUCUUGGCUCUC
rnacentral:misc_RNA from 1 species